rnacentral:rRNA from 1 species
UCGAACGGUAAGGCUCCAGCUUGCUGGGGUACACGAGUGGCGAACGGGUGAGUAACACGUGGGUGACCUGCCCUGCACUUCGGGAUAAGCCUGGGAAACUGGGUCUAAUACCGGAUAGGACCGCACUGUGAGGGUGUGGUGGAAAGUUUUUUCGGUGUGGGAUGGGCCCGCGGCCUAUCAGCUUGUUGGUGGGGUAAUGGCCUACCAAGGCGGCGACGGGUAGCCGGCCUGAGAGGGUGGACGGCCACAUUGGGACUGAGACACGGCCCAGACUCCUACGGGAGGCAGCAGUGGGGAAUAUUGCACAAUGGGCGGAAGCCUGAUGCAGCGACGCCGCGUGGGGGAUGACGGCCUUCGGGUUGUAAACUCCUUUCACCAUCGACGAAGGGUUUCUGACGGUAGAUGGAGAAGAAGCACCGGCUAACUACGUGCCAGCAGCCGCGGUAAUACGUAGGGUGCGAGCGUUGUCCGGAAUUACUGGGCGUAAAGAGCUCGUAGGUGGUUUGUCGCGUCGUCUGUGAAAUUCCGGGGCUUAACUCCGGGCGUGCAGGCGAUACGGGCAUAACUUGAGUACUGUAGGGGAGACUGGAAUUCCUGGUGUAGCGGUGAAAUGCGCAGAUAUCAGGAGGAACACCGGUGGCGAAGGCGGGUCUCUGGGCAGUAACUGACGCUGAGGAGCGAAAGCAUGGGGAGCGAAC